rnacentral:rRNA from 1 species
AGAGUUUGAUCCUGGCUCAGGAUGAACGCUAGCUACAGGCUUAACACAUGCAAGUCGAGGGGAAACGACAUCGAAAGCUUGCUUUUGAUGGGCGUCGACCGGCGCACGGGUGAGUAACGCGUAUCCAACCUGCCCACCACUUGGGGAUAACCUUGCGAAAGUAAGACUAAUACCCAAUGAUAUCUCUAGAAGACAUCUGAAAGAGAUUAAAGAUUUAUCGGUGAUGGAUGGGGAUGCGUCUGAUUAGCUUGUUGGCGGGGUAACGGCCCACCAAGGCAACGAUCAGUAGGGGUUCUGAGAGGAAGGUCCCCCACAUUGGAACUGAGACACGGUCCAAACUCCUACGGGAGGCAGCAGUGAGGAAUAUUGGUCAAUGGGCGAGAGCCUGAACCAGCCAAGUAGCGUGCAGGAAGACGGCCCUAUGGGUUGUAAACUGCUUUUAUAAGGGAAUAAAGUGAGUCUCGUGAGACUUUUUGCAUGUACCUUAUGAAUAAGGACCGGCUAAUUCCGUGCCAGCAGCCGCGGUAAUACGGAAGGUCCGGGCGUUAUCCGGAUUUAUUGGGUUUAAAGGGAGCGUAGGCCGGAGAUUAAGCGUGUUGUGAAAUGUAGACGCUCAACGUCUGCACUGCAGCGCGAACUGGUUUCCUUGAGUACGCACAAAGUGGGCGGAAUUCGUGGUGUAGCGGUGAAAUGCUUAGAUAUCACGAAGAACUCCGAUUGCGAAGGCAGCUCACUGGAGCGCAACUGACGCUGAAGCUCGAAAGUGCGGGUAUCGAACAGGAUUAGAUACCCUGGUAGUCCGCACGGUAAACGAUGGAUGCCCGCUGUUGGUCUGAACAGGUCAGCGGCCAAGCGAAAGCAUUAAGCAUCCCACCUGGGGAGUACGCCGGCAACGGUGAAACUCAAAGGAAUUGACGGGGGCCCGCACAAGCGGAGGAACAUGUGGUUUAAUUCGAUGAUACGCGAGGAACCUUACCCGGGCUUGAAUUGCAGAGGAAGGAUUUGGAGACAAUGACGCCCUUCGGGGUCUCUGUGAAGGUGCUGCAUGGUUGUCGUCAGCUCGUGCCGUGAGGUGUCGGCUUAAGUGCCAUAACGAGCGCAACCCCUCUCCUUAGUUGCCAUCAGGUUAAGCUGGGCACUCUGGGGACACUGCCACCGUAAGGUGUGAGGAAGGUGGGGAUGACGUCAAAUCAGCACGGCCC